rnacentral:rRNA from 1 species
CGUCUUCCAGAUGGGUGGCCCAGGAAAGAUCGCCUGCCAUGAUGACCGUAUCGUCGGCGGUAAUGGUUUCUUUCCAUGCAGAGAGAAUUUUUUCACGGUGAUUUUUCCAGUUGUCUCCGAAGAUGUCCAUCGGUUUUGUCGGCGGGUCGCCGGAGAGGUGGAAAUCACUGAACGCAUACAGUUUCAAUAGGAUCUCCUUAAGGUAAUCAGCCGAAAUACUUGGCUGAGGUAAGCGUUGAGAUAAUGUUUUGCGAGCUUUCAUUAUCCAUGACGUGGGUAAUACGGUAUCCCAUGUACAGCGGACUUGCCAUGUAGCGGGGAAACAGCUUUACAUGGAUAUGCUUCAUAUGAUAAAAAAAUAAAUUAUAACUGCUGCAGGGAAUGGGGAAAUCGUGAAGGAUGUAAUUCGCGAUUUUCCGAAUGGUGUCGGCAAAGGUGUCUAUAUGGCCAUCCGUCUUAAGCGUCACGUUCAGCUCGCCCAUGCCGCAUAUGGGAUAUGAUGAAAGGGAUGCGAAGCAGUUUUCGUCUUCAUGAAAAAUCGUUCCCAGAAGGUUUUCGCGGUUGAUAUUGUCCCUGUAGUCGUAAUCCUCAAGCCCGAUAAUCUGAGAAUGAGGGUGGCGCUGGGAACCGCCAGAGGCGGGGUCGUAGUUGCGGAAAUAAAUCACGGAGAUGAGGUGUGGGUAGGGGUGAAAUUCCAAUCGAACGUGGAGAUAGCUGGUUCUCCCCGAAAUAGCUUUAGGGCUAGCCUCAGGGAAGAGAUUACAGGCGGUAGAGCACUGAUCAGGAGAGGGACCUACCCGGUUACCAAACCCAGUCAAACUCCGAAUGGCUGUAAUCAUACCUGGGAGUCAGACUACGACUUAUAAGGGCCGUGGUCGAAAGGGAAACAGCCCAGACCAUCAGCUAAGGUCCCCAAUGCCGUGCUAAGUCGGGACCUAAUCCGAGGCGAAGGCGCAUAGGAGAUGGAGAGCAGGUUGAAAUUCCUGCACCGGCGCAGACCGAUAGAGCGAGGGAGUGACACAAGAAGGAACGUUCGCAUGCGAAUGGAAGAGCAUGUCCAAGCAGGUAGGGAGUGUGGCAGGCAAAUCCGGCACACAAAAAGCCCGAGAUGUGAUGGGGAGGCUGUAGAGAUACAGGCGAAGGAACGGGGACUCGAUUGUCAAGAAAAGCUUCUAGCGAGGGCUGCGGCGCCCGUACCAAAACCGACACAGGUAGGCGAGAAGAGAAUUCUAAGGUGCGCGGGAAAACCCUCGUUAAGGAACUCGGCAAAAUGUAUCCGUAACUUCGGGAAAAGGAUAACCCCGAGUAGGUGAGGACCGGAAGCGGUAGGAGCUGAAAGGGGUGGCACAAGAGAGGCCCAAGCGACUGUUUAGCACAAACACAGGCGUCUGCAAAAGCGAAAGCUGACGUAUAGAUGCUGACACCUGCCCGGUGCCGGAAGGUUAAGAGGACGUGUAAGCUGAAAGGCGAAGCAGAGAAUUGAAGCCCCGGUAAACGGCGGCCGUAACUAUAACGGUCCUAAGGUAGCGAAAUUCCUUGUCGGGUAAGUUCCGACCCGCACGAAAGGUGUAACGAUUUGGGCACUGUCUCAACGAGGGACCCGGUGAAAUUGAAAUACCUGUGAAGAUGCAGGUUACCCGCGACUGGACAGAAAGACCCCAUGGAGCUUUACUGUAACCUGAGAUGGAGUUUCGGUAGAAGACGUACAGGAUAGUUGGGAGACGCAGAGGCGUGAACGCCAGUUUGCGCGGAGUCGGCGGUGGGAUACCAACCUUGUUUUAUUGAAAUUCUAACGAGAGCCGUAACGAGGCUUCGGACAGUCUCAGGCGGGCAGUUUGACUGGGGCGGUCGCCUCCGAAAGAGCAACGGAGGCGCCCAAAGGUUCCCUCAGCGCGGACGGAAACCGCGCGCAGAGUGCAAAGGCAGAAGGGAGCUUGACUGCGAGACGGACAGGUCGAGCAGGGACGAAAGUCGGGCUUAGUGAUCCGGUGGUAGAGAGUGGAAUUGCCAUCGCACAACGGAUAAAAGCUACCCUGGGGAUAACAGGCUUAUCUCUCCCAAGAGUCCAUAUCGACGGGGAGGUUUGGCACCUCGAUGUCGGCUCAUCACAUCCUGGGGCUGAAGUAGGUCCCAAGGGUUGGGCUGUUCGCCCAAUAAAGUG